rnacentral:rRNA from 1 species
CAGUAGCCGCGGUAACACGAGGGGGGCGAGCGUUGUUCGGAAUUAUUGGGCGUAAAGGGCGCGUAGGCGGUCGGAUAAGUCUUGUGUGAAAUCUUCGGGCUCAACUCGAAGUCUGCACAGGAAACUAUCUGGCUUGAGUGUGGGAGAGGUGAGUGGAAUUCCUGGUGUAGCGGUGAAAUGCGUAGAUAUCAGGAGGAACACCUGUGGCGAAAGCGGCUCACUGGACCACAACUGACGCUGAGGCGCGAAAGCUAGGGGAGCAAACAGGAUUAGAUACCCGCGUAGUCCCUGUCUCUUAUAC